rnacentral:rRNA from 1 species
GAUGAACGCUGGCGGCGUGCCUAACACAUGCAAGUCGAGCGAUUUACUUCGGUAAAGAGCGGCGGACGGGUGAGUAACGCGUGGGUAACCUGCCUCAUACACAUGGAUAACAUACCGAAAGGUAUGCUAAUACAGGAUAAUAUAAGAGAUUCACAUGGAUUUCUUAUCAAAGCUCCGGCGGUAUGAGAUGGACCCGCGUCUGAUUAGCUAGUUGGUAAGGUAAUGGCUUACCAAGGCGACGAUCAGUAGCCGACCUGAGAGGGUGAUCGGCCACAUUGGAACUGAGACACGGUCCAAACUCCUACGGGAGGCAGCAGUGGGGAAUAUUGCACAAUGGGCGAAAGCCUGAUGCAGCAACGCCGCGUGAGUGAUGAAAGGCCUUCGGGUCGUAAAACUCUGUCCCUCAAGGAAGAUAAUGACGGUACUUGAGGAGGAAGCCCCGGCUAACUACGUGCCAGCAGCCGCGGUAAUACGUAGGGGGCUAGCGUUAUCCGGAUUUACUGGGCGUAAAGGGUGCGUAGGUGGUUUUUUAAGUCAGGAGUGAAAGGCUACGGCUCAACCGUAGUAAGCUCUUGAAACUGGAAAACUUGAGUGCAGGAGAGGAAAGUGGAAUUCCUAGUGUAGCGGUGAAAUGCGUAGAUAUUAGGAGGAACACCAGUAGCGAAGGCGGCUUUCUGGACUGUAACUGACACUGAGGCACGAAAGCGUGGGGAGCAAACAGGAUUAGAUACCCUGGUAGUCCACGCCGUAAACGAUGAGUACUAGGUGUCGGGGGUUACCCCCCUCGGUGCCGCAGCUAACGCAUUAAGUACUCCGCCUGGGGAGUACGCUCGCAAGAGUGA